rnacentral:lncRNA from 1 species
AAAAGGUUAUUAAUUAUAUGGUAACGUAUAUAGUUGGAUCAGAAUGAAUGUUUGCAUGUAGUAGUUUCCAAUCCAAGACAGGAAUGAAUAAUAAUAAAGAAGAGUCAGAAAAUGGAGCGUAGCGUAGAAAUUAAAUAAAGAAGAUUCAUCCCCUUUCUCGACAAUAACAAAGUAUCAAAUUGACUGACUGGAAGAUUUGAGUUAUUGAGAAUAUGAUAAGGGAUACGCCUUCUUUUCUUCGAUCUAUCAGUACUUUGGAUAGAACAGUGAUGAGUACAUCUCCAGUAUCCAACAACACAUAGUCGUCACCAUCAUUUCUGAUCUGAAACCCUGCCUUAAUUGAUCUUAUCAAACAAUAUCAAAA